GACAGCCAGGAUGUUGGCUUAGAAGCAGCCAUCAUUUAAAGAAAGCGUAAUAGCUCACUGGUCGAGUCGGCCUGCGCGGAAGAUGUAACGGGGCUAAACCAUGCACCGAAGCUGCGGCAGCGACGCUUAUGCGUUGUUGGGUAGGGGAGCGUUCUGUAAGCCUGUGAAGGUGUGUUGUGAGGCAUGCUGGAGGUAUCAGAAGUGCGAAUGCUGACAUAAGUAACGAUAAAGCGGGUGAAAAGCCCGCUCGCCGGAAGACCAAGGGUUCCUGUCCAACGUUAAUCGGGGCAGGGUGAGUCGACCCCUAAGGCGAGGCCGAAAGGCGUAGUCGAUGGGAAA
rnacentral:rRNA from 1 species